rnacentral:lncRNA from 1 species
GGGCAUCAUCACAAAUUGUUACAGCGGACGACCUGGAACGGUGAAAGCGGUACAUUUCCUGCUUUCUGGAUCCAACUUGAUCUGCCAGAACGCGAAUUUAAGGUCCACACUUGAAAUGUAAUGCGUCUGGUCGAUCCUGGACAGUAUUCCCUCGAUGCUAGGAAGAGGGUAAGCGUCUUUGACGGUGAGUUGGUUCAGUUUUCGGGCGUCUAAACAAAAUCUGCUUUUGUUAGGUUUCCGCACUACCGUCGUCCUAUUGCUCCACGGACUAUCGCUAACCUCUAUCACUCCUAGUUCCAGCAUCUUGUCCACUUCGGUCCAGACCACUUCCUGCAUCGCUGGGGAUUGAGGGUAGUGUCGAUCCUUAAACGGCUCCGCGCCCUCUACCAACUGGAUCCGAUGCUCCUCUACAGUCGUUGACCCUAAUCCGGCAUCUUCGUAAGUCAGGAACUCCCCCUUUACCUUCUCCAGUUCUUCAGAUUCCUUCUCUUCCAGGUCCCACGCGUCCACAUGUACGUUCUCCUGGUGGUCUUCGACAUAUUGGCUGAUCUGUGACAUCUGGACUUCGGAUAUUUUGGCAUCGCUUGUCGAACUUGGAUACGGACCGAGGACUGUGGGAGCCAACGCGAACGACCUCAAAAAAUCGACCCCCAAGUACAUGACUUGCUCCAGGUAUGGACAGAUGUAAAAGAGAAUGUCCUUGCUGAUUCCUUUGUACUCCACAGGGAUUCUAGCCUUGCCGAUUAUGGUCCUGUCCUCUCCUGCGGCGGUUUUGACGAUCGAGACAUAGUUGUCCAUCUCCACCCCGAGGUCGUCUAGGAGCUCACGACUGCCCUUUCCGAGGACACUUACAGAUGCCCCAGUAUCCAGGAGUCCGGAAAUCUUCCGUCCUAGGAUUUGCACCUCGGCAAAAACCCUUGGGUCACGUCCUGCUCCACGCCUGACUGCUUCCGCCACCUCCUUGCGAGUCUGUCUCCUUUGCCGGAAGUGUGCACGGGCCCUCUGGAGUCUACAGCUGACACCUCGCAUUCCAUUCAGCUGAUGUCCGUCAAAGAUCCGAUUUCGGGCUUGUUUAUACCUCCUCAUCCUCUCUUCGACCGGUAAGAAUUUUAAACUAUGUUUUUCUAUACUACUUGGGUUAAUAUGCUUAAUUUUUACAACCUCCAAUAGCGCAUCCUUCACUUCCUCGCGGGCUUCCGUCCCGAGCUCUGAUAUACCGCCUUCAUCAUGCCCGUUUUUGAGUUUCCCGAGCAGUUGGGACACUUCGGCGUGUACGUUUCGGGCUUUCCGCAGAGGUAGCAGAAUACAGCAGCCCAGCCUCGGCUUCGCUGUCAGGUGGGUUUCCUCAACCAUCACCUCUUCCUCUCCUUCCAACAGCUCCUCCGGCUCUGGCUCGAUCUCCUCCACUCGCUUACCGGAUUGUUGGAACUUCAGCGUCGGGCGAAAAGCUGACCUUCGCUCGCGUCUGCGGAAAAGGUACUCCACCUCUACACACUCUUCCCUCAGCUGCUCCAGGUUACGGACUCGGAUCGCGUACACAUAACGAGCGAUCUCCUCCUCGAGUCCCUUCUUGACGACUCUGACCAUCUCAGACUCUGCUAUUGGGGUGAUCAGUCUUGCAGCCAGCCUCCGCAUCGCUCGAAAGUAAUCUUCCACCGAUUCUCCAGGUUCUUGCCGUCGCUCAUUCAACGCACGCAGCCGCUCGUAUUGCCCACCUACUGCGCGGAAUCGGGAUACCAACUCGUCCUUGAUGUCCUCCCAGACUUCUGGAGGCCUCUCUCUUACAAACUGCCAGUCCCACUCGGCAGCACGUCCUCUCACCAGAUGGUGAAAAUUAUCAAGGACUUCGUCCCACGAGCGCCGACUCUGCCUCUGGAGAAAUUCGACCCGAAAGACAAAAUCCUCCACCGUCAGUUUGGCCGGGUCUGGGUCGCCGUCCCAUUUGUCGAUGCGUCCCCAUCUC